GCCCCAGUGGCGGAACUGGUAGACGCGCCAGACUCAAAAUCUGGUUCCCGCAAGGGAGUGCCCGUUCGAUCCGGGCCUGGGGCACCA
rnacentral:tRNA from 1 species